GACGAACUGUGCAAACGUUAUUCGGAAUCACUGGGCUUGAAGAGUGCGUAGGCGGUUUCGUAAGUAGGGUGUGAAAGCCCCCAGCUCAACUGGGGAACUGCGUCCUAAACUGCGAGGCUGGAGUGAGGUAGGGGUGUGUGGAACUUCCGGUGGAGCGGUGAAAUGUGUUGAUAUCGGAAGGAACGCCGGUGGCGAAAGCGACACACUGGGCCUUGUCUGACGCUGAGGCACGAAAGCCAGGGAGCAAACGGGAGUUAGAA
rnacentral:rRNA from 1 species